CUCCUCUUCCUCUUGAGAAAUUGGAAAUAUGGGGAUGCCCCAAUCUUAUCUCCUUUCCAAUUCAUUUAUCCCGAACACCUUCUCUCUCUUUCCUGGACAUACCAUACUCUAAGAAAUUAAAUGACUUGCCCAAGGGGAAGCUUUAUUCUCUUACAAGCUUAAGAGAAUUGGGAAUUGGACCAUUCUCAAAAACCACAGAGCUGCAUUCCUUCUUAGACCUCUUUGGUGCUCUCCCACCAUCGCACCCCUACUUCCCCUCCCUUUCAAAAUUAAUUCUGUGUGGAUGGCCUCAUUGGGAAUCUCUGCCCGAGCAACUUCAGCACCUCUCUGCCCUAACAGUUCUUGAACUAGAUGGUUUUGGAGUAAAAUCAUUGCCUGAUUGGUUUGGGGAGCUUUCGUCACUUGAACGACUCUUCCUCUACAAUUGUAAAAAGCUAAAAAAUUUACCCAAAUCCAUGAGUAGCCUCACCAGACUAAAAGAGCUGCAGAUUGAAAUGUGUCCCCUUCUAACGGAAAGAUGCAAUUCAAAGAGUAGCAGUAGCAGUAGCACCGAUCCAAUUUCUGAGUGGUCCAAGAUCUCCCACGUUCCCAGAAUUAUAAUUAAUGGGCAGCGAAUCAGAGGCUAAUCUCCAAUUAAAGCUACUCGCCUACCUUCUGCUAAAUAACUGUUGCAAACCUGUCUUUCCUUGGUUCUCUCUGAAUUUCUGCUUUCCAGAAAUAUUGGGACAAAAGUCCUCAGCUACCAUAGUUUCCUUUUAUAUGGUGACUCAGAUAAAUACCUACACAUUCUUGGACUUCCGAAAAAGAGGGACUUCUUUACUUCAAAUGGAUCCAGCAGGGCUUUUUCAAAGGGAACUCAUUCUCCUUCAUUAUAUAGAGAAGGUUUAGGCAAUACUAUGCCUAGUUUGAGAGUGUAGAAUGAACCAUUGGUAAAAAACCCAUGGUAUAGUAGUAUUGAAGGCUGAGGGUGUAAUAGAUUUUCUCGAGUCUUAGAGCUCUCCAAGAUGCUGCAACAAAGACUACUCUGGCUGGCUACUGGGAUUCUCUUGCAGGAGCUGUUUGACAGCUAGAAAUUGGAUGAAUGGUCUGAAGAGAUGUUCUCAAAUUUUCCGAUGUAUGAAAAGCUAUGAGCAUAAGCUGUUCUCUCAAUCUGGUGAUGGGGCAGACGCUCUGAUUUAGGGCUAUCAGAUGGCUGAUGGAAAAUAUGCCAUGGUAAUGGAACUGUGGAGAAUAUCAAAUUUUUGCACAGGAGCGGAGAACUUUGAUGCAUAGAGUAGACAUCGAAAUCUGAUGGAUAGAAUUUAAGCAGGAAGUGAAUUUCUGAGAUGGGGGUCAAUCUUGUUGGCAGUAGAAUCCAUGUGAAUGGCAGUCUCCUGGUGAAACAGAGUGUUUAUGCCUUAUAAGGGAAACCUUUCAUGAAAAAUCUUGGGGAUUUAGUUUUGCUCUGCAAGAAUCUCAAGUAUGUUGAAUAGGCAAAGUCAAAUACCUUUUGUAAAACAUAAUGAAAUUAGAAAAGCAAAUAUAAAUAAAUAAAUAAAACAAGAAGAUAUGAACCACCUCAAAAUAUUAUGGUUUGGAAUAUAUGAGGCUGACAGUGAUAGAUUUUCUUGAGGAUCAAGCUCUCCAUGAAGCUGCAUCAAAGACGAUUCAGGCUUGCUACAGGGAUGCUCAUGCACGAGGUAAAGAACAGAGCUAUGGAUAAGCCAAUACAUAGGAAAGCUACAGGUUGGAUUUUUAAGUCAUGAUGACAAAUGCUGCGAAUGAGGCUCGUCAGCCCCCUUACAGAGAUAUAGCCAAGGUCGAAGUGACGAAGUGAGAA